GACGAACGCUGGCGGCGUGCCUAAUACAUGCAAGUUGAGCGCUGAAGGUUGGUACUUGUACCAACUGGAUGAGCAGCGAACGGGUGAGUAACGCGUGGGGAAUCUGCCUUUGAGCGGGGGACAACAUUUGGAAACGAAUGCUAAUACCGCAUAAAAACUUUAAACACAAGUUUUAAGUUUGAAAGAUGCAAUUGCAUCACUCAAAGAUGAUCCCGCGUUGUAUUAGCUAGUUGGUGAGGUAAAGGCUCACCAAGGCGAUGAUACAUAGCCGACCUGAGAGGGUGAUCGGCCACAUUGGGACUGAGACACGGCCCAAACUCCUACGGGAGGCAGCAGUAGGGAAUCUUCGGCAAUAGACGAAAGUCUGACCGAGCAACGCCGCGGGAGUGAAGAAGGUUUUCGGAUCGUAAAACUCUGUUGGUAGAGAAGAACGUUGGUGAGAGUGGAAAGCUCAUCAAGUGACGGUAACUACCCAGAAAGGGACGGCUAACUACGUG
rnacentral:rRNA from 1 species